AACGAACGCUGGCGGCAGGCUUAACACAUGCAAGUCGAACGCGCCCUUCGGGGCGAGUGGCAGACGGGUGAGUAACGCGUGGGAACCUACCUUUUGGGACGGAAUAACUCAGGGAAACUUGAGCUAAUACCGUAUGUGCCCUUACUUUUAAUCGGGUUUGGGGAAAGAUUCAUCGCCAAAGGAUGGGCCCGCGUCGGAUUAGCUAGUUGGUGGGGUAAUGGCCUACCAAGGCGACGAUCCGUAGCUGGUCUGAGAGUAUGAUCAGCCACACUGGGACUGAGACACGGCCCAGAGUCCUACUGGAGGCAGCAGUGGGGAAUAUUUGACAAUGGGAGCAGCGCGGAUCCAGCCAUGACGCGUGAGUGAUGAAGGCCUAAGGGUUGUAAAGCUCUUUCGCCGGUGAAGAUAAUGGCGGUAGCCGGAGAAGAAGCCCCGGCUAACUUCGUGCAAGACGCCGCAGUAACAC
rnacentral:rRNA from 1 species